UACGUAGGGUGCAAGCGUUGUCCGGAAUUAUUGGGCGUAAAGAGCUCGUUGGCGGUUUGUCGCGUCUGCUGUGAAAAUCCGAGGCUCAACCUCGGACCUGCAGUGGGUACGGGCAAACUAGAGUGCGGUAGGGGAGAUUGGAAUUCCUGGUGUAGCGGUGGAAUGCGCAGAUAUCAGGAGGAACACCAAUGGCGAAGGCAGAUCUCUGGGCCGUAACUGACGCUGAGGAGCGAAAGCGUGGGGAGCGAACAGG
rnacentral:rRNA from 1 species